rnacentral:rRNA from 1 species
CCUACGGGUGGCAGCAGUGAGGAAUAUUGGUCAAUGGGCGUAAGCCUGACCCAGCCAAGUCGCGUGAGGGAUGAAGGUUCUAUGGAUCGUAAACCUCUUUUAUAAGGGAAUAAAGUGUGGGACGUGUCCUAUUUUGUAUGUACCUUAUGAAUAAGGAUCGGCUAACUCCGUUCCAGCAGCCGCGGUAAGACGGAGGGUCCGAGCGUUGUCCGGAUUUGUUGGGUUUAAGGGGUUUGUAGGCGGCCUUUUACGUCAGCGGUGAAAGUCUGUGGCUCAACCAUAGAAUUGCCGUUGAAACUGGGGGGCUUGAGUGUGUUAGAGGCAGGCGGAAUGCGUGGUGUAGCGGUGAAAUGCUUAGAUAUCACGCAGAACCCCGAUUGCGAAGGCAGCCUGCCAAGCCAUGACUGACGCUGAUGCACGAAAGCGUGGGGAUCAAACAGGAUUAGAUACCCCAGUAGUC